CAGGAUGAACGCUAGCUACAGGCUUAACACAUGCAAGUCGAGGGGAAACGAUAGAGAAAGCUUGCUUUUUCUAGGCGUCGACCGGCGCACGGGUGAGUAACGCGUAUCCAACCUGCCCAUCACUUGGGGAUAACCUUGCGAAAGUAAGACUAAUACCCAAUGAUAUCUCUAGAAGACAUCUGAAAGAGAUUAAAGAUUUAUCGGUGAUGGAUGGGGAUGCGUCUGAUUAGCUUGUUGGCGGGGUAACGGCCCACCAAGGCGACGAUCAGUAGGGGUUCUGAGAGGAAGGUCCCCCACAUUGGAACUGAGACACGGUCCAAACUCCUACGGGAGGCAGCAGUGAGGAAUAUUGGUCAAUGGACGAGAGUCUGAACCAGCCAAGUAGCGUGCAGGAUGACGGCCCUAUGGGUUGUAAACUGCUUUUAUAAGGGAAUAAAGUGAGUCUCGUGAGGCUUUUUGCAUGUACCUUAUGAAUAAGGACCGGCUAACUCCGUG
rnacentral:rRNA from 1 species